UUCUCAUACUCAUAAUGGCCAUGGAGACUUUAUAUAUUUUCAUGUUUAUGACCGUUUUGUCAUGUGUCCAGUCAGAUAUUGUUCUGAUCCAAAAAAGCAGUGAAGUAAAAAAUCCUGGAGAGUCUCUGCGACUGACCUGUCAAGGUUCAGGGCAGGACAGUGAUGGAGAUACCAUUGCUGCUUAUAGCUUGAGUUGGAUUCGACAAGAGCCUGGAAAAGGACUUGAAUGGCUGGCUUACAUUAGCCCUGACAGCGAUGAUAUAGAGUACGCCAGCAGCAUUAAAGGAAGAUUUACAAUCUCCAGAGACAACUCUAAACAAGCUCUGUAUUUAGAUAUGAACAGUCUCAAAAUUGAAGACACGGCCACAUAUUAUUGUGCUACAGGCACAAUGAGGAACUUCUUGAUAUCUCUCAUACAAAAUCCAAAUAAUAAACAAAGGGAAAUUGAUGCAUUUUGUCAAAGUCAAGAAUAA